rnacentral:tRNA from 1 species
AGAACCCCGUAGGGGCUUGAGUUCCAGUGGCCUAUGGUGUAAUUGGCAGCACGACUGAUUCUGGUUCAGUUAG